AUUGCCUCAGUAACGGCGAGUGAAGCGGCAACAGCUCAAAUUUGAAAUCUGGCUCCCUUUGGGGGUCCGAGUUGUAAUUUGGAGAGGAUGUUUCUGGCGCGGCGCCUACCGGAGUUCCUUGGAACAGGACGCCACAGAGGGUGAGAGCCCCGUACGGUUGGCCGCCUAGCCUUCACGAAACUCCUUCGACGAGUCGAGUAGUUUGGGAAUGCUGCUCAAAAUGGGAGGUAAAUUUCUUCUAAAGCUAAAUACCGGCCAGAGACCGAUAGCGCACAAGUAGAGUGAUCGAAAGAUGAAAAGCACCUUGAAAAGAGGGUUAAACAGUACGUGAAAUUGUUGAAAGGGAAGCGCCUGCGACCAGACUCGCGCCCCGCGGACCAGCCGGCGUUCUCGCCGGUGCACUCCGCGGGGUGCGGGCCAGCAUCGGUUUUCCCUGGGGGAGAAAGGUUGCGGGAAUGUAGCUCUUUCGGGAGUGUUAUAGCCCGUGGCGCCAUGCCCCAGGGGGGACCGAGGACCGCGCUUCGGCAAGGAUGCUGGCGUAAUGGUCGUCGGCGACCCGUCU
rnacentral:rRNA from 1 species